rnacentral:rRNA from 1 species
GAUGAACGCUGGCGGCAUGCCUAAUACAUGCAAGUCGAGCGAAUGGAUUAAGAGCUUGCUCUUAUGAAGUUAGCGGCGGACGGGUGAGUAACACGUGGGUAACCUGCCCAUAAGACUGGGAUAACUCCGGGAAACCGGGGCUAAUACCGGAUAACAUUUUGAACCGCAUGGUUCGAAAUUGAAAGGCGGCUUCGGCUGUCACUUAUGGAUGGACCCGCGGCGCAUUAGCUAGUUGGUGAGGUAACGGCUCACCAAGGCAACGAUGCGUAGCCGACCUGAGAGGGUGAUCGGCCACACUGGGACUGAGACACGGCCCAGACUCCUACGGGAGGCAGCAGUAGGGAAUCUUCCGCAAUGGACGAAAGUCUGACGGAGCAACGCCGCGUGAGUGAUGAAGGCUUUCGGGUCGUAAAACUCUGUUGUUAGGGAAGAACAAGUGCUAGUUGAAUAAGCUGGCACCUUGACGGUACCUAACCAGAAAGCCACGGCUAACUACGUGCCAGCCGCCGCCGUAA